rnacentral:lncRNA from 1 species
CUGAGAGAUACGGACUCCAGGCUCUUGACAACAGGACUCCUGGCCUCCAAUAGUAACCCUGGGGAGCUCUCCAAGGGCUUGCUUCCUCCUACCCUGAGACCUCCUGGCAGAAACACUGAAGCAGGACAUUUGGCCUCAAGGAUAUUUGUCCCACAGAGUCAUUUGAACUCAAUUUCAGUACAGACCCCCUUCAGGCUCUAUCUCUCUUCCCCUCUGAGUGUCACCCGGCAUUACAGCCACCAGACAAACUUACUACGUCUGAAACAAAUCCAGGCCCCAGAAGCCCGUGCAUGGCUUCCCAGAACCCCAGUCAAGGUGACGAGCAAGAAGGACAUUUGUCUCACACCAUUCUGCUGAGGACGAGGUGGAGAGCAGGAAAGGAAGAAUUUCCUGGGGACCAACAGGAAAGCCCUGGCAAAGAUCUCUG